GGGUUGUGAGGUUAAGCGAAUAAGCGUACACGGUGGAUGCCUAGGCAAUCAGAGGCGAUGAAGGACGUGCUAAUCUGCGAAAAGCGUCGGUAAGGUGAUAUGAACCGCUAUACCCGACGAUAUCCGAAUGGGGAAACCCAGUAUCCAAUGGAUACUAUCAUUAACUGAAUCCAUAGGUUAAUGAGGCGAACCGGGAGAACUGAAACAUCUCAGUACCCCGAGGAAAAGAAAUCAACCGAGAUUCCCCUAGUAGCGGCGAGCGAACGGGGAGCAGCCCAGAGUCUUAAUCAAUA
rnacentral:rRNA from 1 species